CAGGUGACAACAAAAUUUAGCAUGACUCAUGAAGAAAAGCACAAGUUGCAAAUAAUUUAUGACAGAUUGAAUACAAAAUUUUAGCGAGCAAUGUUGGAACGAUGUUGAUUAUGGAGGGCUUUGCCAAAUGAAAUUUUACAUAUGCAGGGUAAUCUUUGACUCUAGCAGCAUGCAACUGCCUAUAUACCACGGACAUCUUGAUGUUGAAAUUUUAAGUGCGGUGAAAAUUUGCGUCAGACAAUUUUACAUGGUGACUGACCGUAAGUUAAAAAGAUAGAUUCAUUAAAUGAGGACCUGUUUGAUGUUGACCGAGCAGCAGGUUCUCUUCUGAGAAAAUUUGAUGUGAAUGGUUUAUGGAGCUUAGAUGAGUAUUGGAAAUCAAUAAGCUGGCGCAGUUUUACAAACCCAUUAUAUUUAUUCUGAAACAAAAAUGAGUCAGAAGACUGGAGCAGGAUGAUUAGCACAGACAAAAUUUUCCAGUAAAGCUAGGAUUGCUUCUGUCACCAACCAGGAGAGAAAAUGCUGAAAUUUUGGAAGCCAUUUAACGUUAAUUAUGUAAAACAUUCUUUAGUAUUGCAAGUGUUUGUUAAAAUGACACCAACCAGUUCAGUCUCUUAUAAAUUUUAUUUUAAUAGCCCAUAUCAUUCUA